UCUUGGUUUUGGGGGUAGAUUCCCGUGAUUCAUAUGCUUACCUACAACACCCAGGGCUCAUCCCGACAAGUGGGCACAAUUUAUAGAUCACCCAAAUGGAUCCAAACUCUGUCCGCCUUUGAGUAUAAGUGAGGCCUUACUAAGAUUAUGGACCAAAUUGUGAUGACCCUUGAUGCCCCCUUCGAUGACUGUCGAACCAUACCUCCCCUUAAUGUCUCUUCCAGUUUCCAGAGUAGGAACAAGUUCAUGCAUGUUUUCCUCGUCUGGUAACCUGUCACGUCACUUGUCUCUGGCCCAGCUGCAGCUUACAGGAUGAUCCUGUACCUUCUCUUCCUGGCACUGACAGCAUCUUGAGGGAGACGGAUGUAUCUCAGAGGAUCCCUGGUUUUGGGGCUGGAUGCAAUGAACAGAGAUCCAGGUUCCAGGCAGAAGAACAGGUUUUCAUUCUUCAGACCUGUUAGCACUUCAGUGGUGAAUACAGAAGACAAAAUUAGUACAGAUCAAGUAACAUGGAAAAGAAGAGACAGCACUAGAUACAGAAGUAGACAACAGGAGGAGAAAACUCAGGCCUUGGCAAAAGCCACAUUACCGAACAGGGUUGCAGAGAGUGUCAGCUGGGGUCAGAUGAGAACAGCAGUCUGACUCAACAGACAUUUAUUGCACUCCUGCUGUAUGCCAAGAAAUGCACUGAAAUCUGGAAGUGUGUAACACAGGAGAAGAAAAGGCUUAUCGCCAAGGAGCCCUCACCUGGAAAGAGAGAUGGAAUCUCAGCCUAAGGUGGUGAAAUGUUGACAUGCUACCAGAAGGACAAAACAGCAGAGGACUAAUUUUUACUUCCUGUUGGCUCAAGCAGGAAACCCAAGCCAGACUGAUUCCUCCAUGUUUGACUUACAACUUCGAGAGUGUCUAGCCAGGUAUUCUGAGUGCCAUCAAGCAAGUAACAGCUGGAGAACGUGCAGCGAAAGAAACCACACAACAAGGAGCCAAAUCACAUUUUUCACUUAUUACGGAACAACUUUAUGAUAAGUUGACACUUAACACAUUGCAGUCCGAUGUUUGCCACCGUGUCUGAUACACGGCACUGUGUGUAUAUCAUGCAAUUAUGUUCUUCACGUGAUUGUUCACAUAAACUUAUUACAUUUUGGAACAGAUACAGCUAAAAUAAAUCUCUUUUGAAUUUU